rnacentral:rRNA from 1 species
AUUGAACGCUGGCGGCAGGCCUAACACAUGCAAGUCGAACGGUAACAGGAAGCAGCUUGCUGCUUUGCUGACGAGCGGCGGACGGGUGAGUAAUGUCUGGGAAACUGCCUGAUGGAGGGGGAUAACUACUGGAAACGGUAGCUAAUACCGCAUAACGUCGCAAGACCAAAGAGGGGGACCUUCGGGCCUCUUGCCAUCGGAUGUGCCCAGAUGGGAUUAGCUAGUAGGUGGGGUAACGGCUCACCUAGGCGACGAUCCCUAGCUGGUCUGAGAGGAUGACCAGCCACACUGGAACUGAGACACGGUCCAGACUCCUACGGGAGGCAGCAGUGGGGAAUAUUGCACAAUGGGCGCAAGCCUGAUGCAGCCAUGCCGCGUGUAUGAAGAAGGCCUUCGGGUUGUAAAGUACUUUCAGCGGGGAGGAAGGGAGUAAAGUUAAUACCUUUGCUCAUUGACGUUACCCGCAGAAGAAGCACCGGCUAACUCCGUG